GAUGAACGCUGGCGGCGUGCCUAAUACAUGCAAGUCGAGCGAACAGAUGAGGAGCUUGCUCCUUUGACGUUAGCGGCAGUCGGGUGAGUAACACGUGGAUAACCUACCUAUAAGACUGGGAUAACUUCGGGAAAGCGGAGCUAAUACCGGAUAAUAUAUUUAACCGCAUGGAUCAUUAUUAAAAGACGGUUUUGCUGUCACUUUUAGAUGGAUCCGCGUCGCAUUGGCUAGUUGUUAAGGUAACGGCUUAUCAAGGCAACGCUGCGUAACCGACCUGAGAGUGUGAUCGGCCACACGGGAACUGAGACACGAUCGAGACUCCUGAGGGAAGCAGCAGUAGGGAAUCUUCCGCAAUGGAGGAAAGGCGAACAGAGCAACGCGGCGGGAGUUAUGAAGGUCUGCCGAUCGUAGAACUCUGUAAUAAGUGAAGAAGAAAAGUGUAAGUAUAUAGGAACGUCUUGACGGUACCUAAUCAGAAAGCCACGGCUAACUACGUG
rnacentral:rRNA from 1 species